rnacentral:rRNA from 1 species
GAUCCUGGCUCAGGAUGAACGCUAGCGGCAGGCUUAACACAUGCAAGUCGAGGGGUAGAAGCAGCUUGCUGCUUUGAGACCGGCGCACGGGUGCGUAACGCGUAUACAAUCUACCUUUUACAGAGGGAUAGCCCAGAGAAAUUUGGAUUAAUACCUCAUAGUAUUUUCGAAUCGCAUGAUUUGGUUAUUAAAGUUCCAACGGUAAAAGAUGAGCAUGCGUCCCAUUAGCUAGAUGGUAAGGUAACGGCUUACCAUGGCGACGAUGGGUAGGGGUCCUGAGAGGGAGAUCCCCCACACUGGUACUGAGACACGGACCAGACUCCUACGGGAGGCAGCAGUGGGGAAUUUUGGACAAUGGACGCAAGUCUGAUCCAGCCAUUCCGCGUGCAGGAUGAAGGCCCUCGGGUUGUAAACUGCUUUUGUACGGAACGAAAAGGUUUCUCUUAAUACGAGGGGCUCAUGACGGUACCGUAAGAAUAAGCACCGGCUAACUACGUG